rnacentral:rRNA from 1 species
AUUGAACGCUGGCGGCAGGCCUAACACAUGCAAGUCGAACGGUAACAGAAAGCAGCUUGCUGCUUUGCUGACGAGUGGCGGACGGGUGAGUAAUGUCUGGGAAACUGCCUGAUGGAGGGGGAUAACUACUGGAAACGGUAUCUAAUACCGCAUAACGUCGCAAGACCAAAGAGGGGGACCUUCGGGCCUCUUGCCAUCGGAUGUGCCCAGAUGGGAUUAGCUAGUAGGUGGGGUAACGGCUCACCUAGGCGACGAUCCCUAGCUGGUCUGAGAGGAUGACCAGCCACACUGGAACUGAGACACGGUCCAGACUCCUACGGGAGGCAGCAGUGGGGACUAUUGCACAAUGGGCGCAAGCCUGAUGCAGCCAUGCCGCGUGUAUGAAGAAGGCCUUCGGGUUGUAAAGUACUUUCAGCGGGGAGGAAGGGAGUAAAGUUAAUACCUUUGCUCAUUGACGUUACCCGCAGAAGAAGCACCGGCUAACUCCGUG